AACUGGCGCAGCGUGGGGAUAUCGCCAUCGUCGAGAACGGCGGGGCAAAGUGCGCUGGCGUGGUGUAUUCCGGUUCGGUCUGGGUGCCGGGUG
rnacentral:tRNA from 1 species